rnacentral:rRNA from 1 species
ACGAAGGUCCCAAGCGUUGUUCGGAAUCACUGGGCGUAAAGCGUGUGUAGGCGGCAGGGUAAGUCAGAUGUGAAAUCCCGAGGCUCAACCUCGGAACUGCAUCCGAUACUGCCUUGCUAGAGUAGUGGAGGGGUAUAUGGAAUUCACGGUGUAGCAGUGAAAUGCGUAGAUAUCGUGAGGAACACUAGUGGCGAAGGCGAUAUACUGGACACUUACUGACGCUGAGACACGAAGGCUAGGGUAGCGAAAGGG